GAACCAAGUGACGAUUCUGGAUUCAAUCUCACGACGGUCGUCUGAAUCACGUCUUUUUGUAGGACUGUGAUAAAUUGAUGUAUUGAUCCAAAUUUGCUGAUGGUU